GGUGCAGUGGGUCAAGGAUCUGUCAUUGUCACUGCUGUGGUGUAGGUUGCAGAUGCAGCUCGGAUUUGAUCCUUGGCCCGGGAACGUCCAUAUGCCAUGGGUGCAGCCAAAAAUGAACACACAAAAAAGUCUCUGUCUAUAAAGCACAAAAAACUUUAGAAUCUCAUUAAGGAUACAUAAGACCUCUAAGGAGAAAUUAUAAAACCUUAAUCAAAGACAUUCAGGAAGACAUAAAUAAAGGGGGAAAUACGCUUUUGUUCGUUGACUCGAAGCCUCAACAGUGAGAAGAUUGUCCACAAAUCUUAAUAAAACCCACACAGGUUCUGUGCUGGAACCUCGGCACGCUGAUUCUGAACCUGAUCUGGAAGUUUGAAAAGCCAAGAAUCCACAAAAUUCUUGAUCCCCAGCAGAGUGGGAGAACUUGCUCUGCCAGACCUCGGUCCUUUUACAGAGCCGACAUCACGACGGCGGUGCUGACGCUGAUGCGGAGAUGGGGUGACCUAAGGCAAGGUGACAGGUGGGUGACCAGGAACUGCCCCCACGCAUGCUCGCUGAGCGUCAGGUGGCCUGUGCACGGCGGGGAGAGAGGGCGCUCGGUGAUAGCUGGGGUCCACGCGCAGAAAACGCUGCCCCGGACCCCUCCCUCACACCAUACAUCACAAAUUCAUUCUCGGCAGUCCAGGCGACGGACGACUCAUGAAGAAAGGCCAAACUAUGAAGACUUUAUCGCUGAAUCUAGAAGGCUAUGUCCGUGACCUCAGGGUUUCAGAGGAUUUUCUAAAACGUAAGAAGCCAUCACCGCAAAGGAAAAGACUGAUUAGUUCGACUACAUUAAAAUCUAGAGCUAAGCAUUAAACAAGCUAUGUAAGAGCAAAAACAGCCCCGGAAGAAGAACGCCCCCCCAAAUAUAAAGAAGCCACACAAAUCAACCAGAAAAAUGAGCGACUUAAUGAAAAAUUGGCAGCAGACGAGCAGGCUCAUCACAAGAGGGGGAUGCAGUGGCCCGUGAGCAUGUGGAAAGGUGUCGGGCUGACUCGCGCUCCAACGGGAUGUGUAAAAACCUCAGGGCGCCCUCGGCCCCUGGGGGGAGGGCAGGCUGCCAGCAGGAAGCCGCACAGACAUGACUUAGUCACACCCUGGAGAAGGGCUCCGAGGGAAGGGCUCUCUGCCCGUGACAUUCCGUGAGAGCCCAGGGACAUGACGGGCAGGCCUUGAAGAGCACACGCACUUGGGCCUGGGACCUGGCCGGAACCCUUGCAACCCCCGUCGUAGAGACUCGGGGCUGCGAUUCAAGUGCCCUGGGUUAUGUUGUACAGUUGUCAAGGGACGGGGCUAAGACUUCAUCCAGGAUUCAGACGUUCUUUCAAAAAAAGGGAAAGGAAAAAAGGGCAAACAGACCCUUUGACGUCUGCACCACUGUGCACAGCAGGAAGGGCUGGUGGAGUGGUGGCUGGAGAGCGAGGCCACUCUCCCAGCAGCCGAGAUGACAAGUGCCAUCCAUCUCUGAAGGCCAAGGGUGAGCCACCCGACCCGGAGAAUGGCCCAGCCCUGGAGAUUGAGGAAAUUAAAAUGUGUGCACAUCAGUUGGCUGCUUGGGGCAGGUGGGCCUGCACCUGCCAGAGAAGAAUGGGGUUGAAUCCUGAGAACGGCACACGGGCCCCGCAGCCGAGGGCAUGGAGAGGGCUCCACAGCUUGGUUGUUCCAAAUUGGCAGGGAAGGAAGGCCCAGCUUCGUCGUCAGAGACCGGGGUCCCCCUACCCGCCACAGGCAGGCAGUGAUCAGGCCACAAACCCUCCCGGCUGCCCACCUGCAAUCACAGCCUGGUCCCAGGCUCCUGCAAGAAGGUACAGGGAGUCAGGGGGCUGGAUGCUGGGCACGUUGCUGGCACGUUGCCCCUUCAGACAGAGGUCUGUGGACAAGUGACCUGGCUUGUCCUCCCCACCUUCAGGGAGUCUGAGGCUGGUGUGUGACAAGAUGUGGGUGCAGCGCAGGCCGGGCCCAUGUGGACUUGCGGCAGCUCCUCUGGACGCUCCGGCCCGAGGCGGGCCCGGGGCUCCGCCAGGAAAAUGGGAGGUCUGGCAUGGCGAACGCGGCCUCUGGCGUGGCCACCACCACAGCUGGCGACACCGGCUGCCAAGUCUCGCCCUCUCUCCAGAGAGCAGAACCAGAGAGCACGGCACCCCGCCUUCCAGCUGGGGGCCCCACUUCAUAGGGCGACUGCAAUUAGCUUUCAAAGAAGGAUGGGCACAGAAAAAAGGCUGGAAGGAAACGGAGCAAACCAUGAACGGUUUGUCUUCAGGUGAAGAGACUGGAGGACGGUCACUUCCUUCUCGUGGCUGCGUUUUCUGUCGGGGCUGCCCCUGCCUCCAGUCGGGAACCCGUGUCUCCCCGCCUUGCCCUCCGGCUCCCGGCCCAGCCGAGCGCAUUGGAGCAUCCUUCGCUCUCCACCCGGCCCGGGAGUGCCCCCGCGCCCCCACAGAGCCCUGUCCCACCACAGGCGGCCCCAGAGCACCUGCUCUCACCUCCUUGCCUCCCCGUCCUGCCCCUGCCCGACCCCGUCCCCCACUCUCAAGGCAGGUCCCACUUGUCCUUGACACUGGCUCCCACGAGGGGCAGGAAUUCCCAUUUCCCAAUCCUUCAGUUGUGACAUCAUUUCUCUGUCACAGCAGCUCUGUGGGAUGAUGGCUCUGAUUCGCAUUUUGAGAUGAGCAAGUGAGUUGAGAAAGGCUGAAAACCAUGCCUGGUCACACACACUAGGCCAGGAUGCCAGCACCCAGGACCGUGGGCUGUAAGGCCCCAGUCCGUGCCACGGCCCUCUGCCCCCAGGGGCCUAUGCUAUUCUCUUUCCCUGGUGACUCCCCCUCCCCUGGGGACCGAUCCAAAUCCUGCCUAGUCUCCCAGGCAUCACCCACGUUCUUCCCGGAGCUUCCCAAGGCUCCCAAGAUUGCUCCCGCGUCUGGGUGGGCGUGGGGCUCAUGUGUGCCUGGCCCUCAGGUCCGUGCCAGUUUCUUGGCACAGGAACCCCGCCCUCCCCCCGUCCCCCCAUGCCCCAGCACAGGCGUGUCCCUGAGCAGCUCUCUCCACAGGGAUAAACAGACGCUGCCCCGUCCCCCCCCACCACGGCCCCUUCCCACCCGCCCGCCUCGCCUCUCCCCCUCUUGGCGGAUUUGCCAAAGCCCCAUAGCUCCUGCCCUGGGAGCGGGAACCCCCUCCCCAGGGCAUCCGGACAGCUGCAGCCAGACCCUGUGUGACAUUGCUGAGCCGCGGCUCCAGGCCCGUGCCAGCUGCCCAUGCCUGGCUCACAGACCACGAGCCAGCACUGCCGCGUCGCCACCUGUGUCUCUGCUCAGAGGCCCAAAGUAAGGGACACGGACAGAAAGUGUAAAAGCCAUUCCCACGACAGCUGCCAGGAACAGGGCGAACAGUGGAGUGAAAAUGUAUAUUCACAGCUGGCACCCAGUUCCGCUCAGGAAAAUACCUUGCCUGAGUGGACACCUGUUGUUUUUGCCCAUCCGGCAGCUAGGCCUGGCUCUGGGAACAGCCUCUCGAAGCUUCCCUGGGGGGCUGCUCCUUCCCUACUCCCCAGGCUGCAGGGGGCAGGUGCCCAGCAGCCAUCCUCAGAGAGGGCCCGGGGCCCAGGCCUUGGCCUUGGGAGGCCCCGCGGCAGGUCUGAGGAUGGCUGGUGCCUGACUGGGGUCAACAGCAGCCGGGCCCAGACGCCGGCAAAGACGAUGGAGAGAGAGAGGGGGUCUUUCCGCUGGGUCUGCUGAGCGGGCGGCCCUCUUGCCCCCUUCGGAGAGUGGCCGCCCGAGGACACGGCCAUCCCAGGGGGCAGUGGGGAGGGGAGGGGGGAGCCGGAGAGGGAACAAGGCGGGGGUGGGGGGAGCCCACGGGGGAGAGCGCAGGGUCAUCCCAGCCCCGGGGUCCAGCUGUGUCUGAAACAGCUGGGUCCAGUUGUGUGAGCCAAGAAAUGUCCCUUCUGUGUGCUUCGGCUCGAUUGAGUUGGGGUUCUAUCCGUCGUCACUGAGAGGACCUCCAGGAAUGUGUGGGACAAACUGGGGGUGAGGCGUGAGCCCAGGGGACGGGCCAGGGGGGGUCGAGGGUACACACGAGCCGAGCUGCUCACCCUCCCCUCGCUGUGCUUGGGGGGUCGCGGGCAGAGGGGACGGCAGUUAGCGCCGCAGCGGCCCCUAAAGCCGUGGCCGCCCUGUCCCCUCACCCUGGGCUAAGCUUGUUUAAAGCAAAUCGUGGGACACGCCACGUCUCGCGUGCGGUCCAGGCCGCGCAGGGCGUACCUGGAGCAUGACAGUGCUGUGGCCAGGGUCAAGGGGGACCCGGGGAUCCCGACUGGUCCUGGGGAGGACGCUGGGCUUUCUACGCCCCUGGAGAUGAGGGCGCUGAGGCCUUCUGUCCCCAGCGCUGCCCCUCACGACAGGGCUCGCAGGCUUCAGCACACGCAUCUGAGAGGCGCGGAGAGGGUUCUGCGGGGCCAAGGGAGGGGUCCGAACGGCGGGGGUCACUGGGGGGACAGCGGCCACGGAGCCGGGCCAGGGUCAACCCCAAGCGAGGGCAGGAAACGGAAAGGGAGAGACACAGCCACCCGCACAACUCAGGCGACGCUCCGGGGCCUCCCCGCUCCAGGCCGUCACUGUCCAGGGCUCCGAAGGCAGUUCCAGGGGACAGUUCCCGGCAGCGAGAGCGGCCCCAGGAAACGUUAAUAUACAAUGGAAUCUGGGUUAAGCUCGGUCUUCUCCAAGAGCUGAGCUCACAGGACAUUCCCAAGAACCCUCUGGAGAGGUGGUGGGGAAGGUUUCUGGAGGUCUUUGGAUGAAGAAAACAAAUUGAAAAAAAAUGGCCUUGAUUUUCAAGGCGAAAUUACAGAGGACGAAAAAAAUGUUUUUAAUCUAAUUAAGAGCGAUCUUUUCACCUUCAUCACAACAUCGCAGCAAUGUGCCAGUUCUUAACUUCACACAAUAAUCAAAGCAAUUAGUGAGGGAGAAGCCUUGGAAACGGUGCAGAUGUUCUGAGAAUGUCUAACGGGGAGAAAUGAGUUGCAGGCCUCGUUCUCAGCAUCCGGCUCCGGGCCCUGGCCACCAAAUGCAGACAUCUGCUCGGGCCCCACCCCCAGGCCCCGAGGGCGCGGGCUUGAGAAACACAGGUCCCUUCCCAGGCCGCCUCCCAGCCAGGCCAGAUCCGGGGCCGAGAGGCUCCCCAUGGCUCCCCAAGCUGGAGCCUGGACACAGUCAGAGCCACCCCAGAGCUGGGGCUGGGGGUGGGGGGGAGCAUAAGAUCCAAUUGUGCUAACAACCCAUAUGUCCAAAGUAAUCAGCUCAGCCCGGCUCUCCGCUGGUCCUGCAGGAGGACUGGAGGGCAGGGCAAGGGCCGUGGGGCCCCACGGAACCCUCAGCCACGACCCCCAUCCCCCAGUUUGCACAAAUACUGUUUCACGAGAAGACGCAGUGGCAUCUGUCUGGCAUGGCCCUGCAGUCCCCAUUCCAAGGCUGCUGGCCUCUGAGUGGGCCCAGGACUCACACUGGUUGGACGUGAGGAAAUGUCCAGUAACCCGAGACAGCGCAGACGUGCAGACAUGGCUCACUUAGCGUGAGCAAGCGACACAGCCUGUCCCAGAGCAGAGGGCCACUAGGUUGGUGUUAAGGGGCUGCGGGGGACAUGAAGACCCCAGCUGGGUCAGACAGCAGGUCUUGGAGCCUCUGCCGCGUGGCAGGUCCCAGGGACACAGAGGCAAAGGACACAUCUGCCCUCUCUUGGGGACACCCGGGUGGCUCGGGGCCCAGCCCGCAGCCCCUCAGCAUGCACAUUCCAUGCACACCAAGGCUCCUCAGUGCCGCCCUGCCAGAGGCCUCCGGAGCGCUAUCUCUGACCCCAGGGGCCUGCUGCGCCACACAGGGCCGGCCGGAGUGACGCAGGAUGGGCCCCCCGGGGGGCAGCUCCCGGUUGUGAGAGAUAAACACCCUAAGCUCCUUCAGCAGCUGGUGGAGCAACUCCGAGGAGUGUUCUGUGCAGCUUACCAGCUGCCCACGUAGAGCCCGUCCUCAGUAGGCGACCUGCAUGGGGGCUCCCGAGGUGGCUCUGGACCCAGCAGGCUGGCCCAUGUGGUGCAGUCGGCCGAGCAGCAAGGCACCCUUGACGGAGCUCCCUUGGGCUGCUGUGCACAGAGCAGAGCAGAGGAGGCAGCAGUGAAGACGCAUCAGUGGGGGUGGCAGCAGAGAGAAAUGGAAGCAGCUCUGACCAGAUGUGGUGGGAUGGAGGGCAGGCACUGGGCACCGUGUGGGAAGCUGGCAGGGCCUGCGAUGGGUUGGACACAGGCACUGAGAAAAAAGCACGAUUUUAAAAAGGCUUCCGGCCAGUUAGGAGAGCAGUGGCCUGCUGCUCCCCUCUCCCUGGUUUCAUAGAUCCCUCCUCCUCCUCCUCCAAGCAGAAAGCCAACAGGAGUGCACAGAGGAGUGUACGCGGCCCAUGCCCUCGGCAGCCCUAGGAGAUGGAGCACUGUGGCCUUCAUGUUCCCCAUGACCAGAGAAAUGAACCGAACUCCAACAGCACUGCAGCCACCUGCCCACCCCCACGAGCCUCUAGAGGAUGUGUCGAGAUGAGGCUUAAAACACCCUGUCCAGAUGCGUUAAGAAUGUGCGUGACCUCGGCAAAGACGGAGGCACAGGUCCCUCUGCAGAGACUUCCCUCCACGGAAACACAGAAGUCAAGGAAAGUGUGUCAGAAUUGACUUUGCCAGAGCCUUUGACUCUCUGUGAAAGGUUUACAGCAUGCAAGUGAACAUCCAAUCAAGUAAUGGGAAGUUUAAAAAAAAUAUGGCAGGAAAGCUCGGUGGCAUUUUUACUUGUCUUUACAACACUGCUGUCCGUCACUCGCUCGCCAUCUUGAAGAUGGCUGCCCAUAUUCCCAGCGUGGGUCCCUGAUGCUGGGUUCUGGAGGGGGCAGAGCAGAUCUUGAGAAAUUGGGUCUGUUCUGGGUUGUCUGGGGAUGGCCUGGAGGGGACAGCCUUUGUUUCCUCUACAACAGAACUUACUCGUGAAAAAUGGUGGACAUUCCUCGUAAGCGCUGUAUGAGAGUCAAACAAGUCCCAGCCACGCGGGGAAAAGAUUGCAGUAAAGGCCUAGAUGAGAGCACUGACAGCAGUCAGAGUUGGGAGAAUGGGGGGAAAGUUUCUUUGGGGAAGUCAGGCCAUUUUCAAACACCUGUGUAUACUGAAGAAUUGAGAAAGCCAAGAGCAUGCCCAUGGCAGGAUGCAUGCUCAGAACCAUCCUAAGAACACAUGAAGCUCUCACCAAUGGCUGAUCGCUGGGAGGCGAUGGCUAAGGCAGAGCUGUAAACAGCCUGGCCAGAUCCUAAAGGACUGCCCCCACACAGAGCUAAACUGCAAAGGCUGGGAGGGUUCUUUUACUUUUUUCCUUCCUCCUGGCACUUGAGAAAGUCUGUCAAAACUCCAGCUGACAAAAGAGGAAUGGUGACAUAAGAGCUACAGCUCACAGCAAGAAAAGAAAUAUCCCGAGCAGGGAAAAGACUCUGCUGUCUAGAGUUAUAUAUAUCAUAUUCAAAAUAGCCAGUUUUCAACCAAAAAGUCAUGAAGUAUGUAAAGAAGCAGGAAAGUAUGGCCCAUUCACAGGAGAACUAGACAUCAGCUGUCUCUGAGGAAGUACAUUGAACUUACUAGAGAAAGAGUUUAAAUCAACUUAAAUAUAAGGAAGCAGAGGAAAUUAUAGAUGACUAAAGGUAACCAUGAGAAUGAUGUGUGAAUGGAUGGAGAAUAUCAGUAAAGAGGAAGUUAUAAAAAGGAAUUAAAUUCUGGAACUGAAAAUUAUAAUGAUUGAUAUGAAGAACUCACUAGAGUGUUUGCCUAGCAUAUCUGAACUGAAGAAAAAAAAUCAGUGAACUUGAAGCUAGGUCAAUCUAAAUUAUCCACUCUGAGGAGCAAAAAGAAAAGCGGGUGAAGUUAAAAUGAAUAGACCCUCUGGGACCUGUGGCAUAUCACCAAACCCAUAGUGGGAAUCCCAGGAGAGGCGAGAAAGGAAGAGGGAGUAUUUAAAGAAAUAAUAACUGACAACUCAAGUUUAAUGGAAGAUGUGACUCUAAACCUCCCAGAAGCUCAUUGAAUUCCAAGAAGCAAAUCAUAAUCAAAUUGCUGAAAGAUAAAGAUAGUAUGAUGAAAGGAAUGAGAAAAUGGACUAAACACAUACAGGGAGAGUCAAUAAGAUUAACAUCAAAUUUCUCACUAGAAGGCAUGGAGGCCAGAAGGGAGCAGGAUAAAAAUUUUAAAGUGUUAAAAGAAGAAAACAAAAAAUGAAAUUGAAUUAAGACUUUUAUAUCUACCAAAAGUGUCUUUCAAUAGUGAAGGAGAAAUUUAGAUGUUCUCAGAUAAACAUUUGAUAAGGGAGUUCCUUGCUAGUCAGUUUGCCCUACAAAAAGUGUAACAAGAGUCCUUUAGGCUGAGAUGAAAGGAUGCUAGAAAGUAGCCCAAACCCUUACAAAGAAGUAAAGAAUUCCCGAAAAGGUAACCACAUAGGUAAACAUAAAAGCCAGUAUUAUCAUAAUUUUAGCUUGUAAUUACUCUUUAUAUCCUGCCUGUCUUAAAAGACAAAUGCAUAGAGCAAUAACUGAACAUCUAUAUUAUUGAAUACAUAAUGUAUAAAGAUGUAAUUUGUGACAAUAGCAACACGAGGCAGAUAUAACUAAAUAGGAGCUAACUUUUUAUAUUGAGGAGAAAGUUCAUCGGGAUGUAACAAUUAUAAGCAUAUACACAUCAAACAACAGAGCCCCAAGAUACAUGAAGGAAACUUUAACAGAUUUCAGGGGAGAAAUAGACAGUUCUACAAUAAUGGAGACUUCAACAACCAACACUCAACAAUGUAUAAAACAACCAGACAGAAGAUCCACAAGGAAACAGAACACUUAAGCAAUGCUAUAAACCAACUAGACCCAAUAAACAUGUAGAACAUUCCACCUAACAACAGAAGAAUACAUUCUUCUCAAGUGCACUUGGAAUAUUCUCCAGGAUAGAUCACAUGUUAGGCCCAAAGCAGUCUCAGGAAAUUUUUAAAAAUUAAAAUCUUACUUAGUAUCUUCUCUAACCAAAAUGGAAUGAGGCUAAAAAGCAGUAACAGAAGGAAAGCUAGAAAAUUAACAAAUAUGUGGAAAUGAAAUAACACAUUCUUUAAAAUCAAAUGGAUUAAAGAAGAUAUCACAAGAGGAACCAGGAAAUAGUUUGAGACAAACAAAAAUGAAAACAACAUACCAAAACAUAUGGGAUGCAAUGAAAGCAGUGCUCAAAGAGAAAAAAUAUAGUGAUAAGUUCCUACAUAAAUAAGAGCCUUGCUUUUCUUCACCACCACCCUAUGUGCAGUUGAAUUAGUUCCUUGUCAUGUCUUCUCACAAGACCUUCAGGAUCAAGCAAUUCCUGGCCAAGAAGCAAAAGCAAAAUCAUCCCAUUCCAACGGAUUUGAAUGAAAACUGGUAAUAAAAUCAGGUGCAAUGCCAAAUAGAAGACAUUGAAGAAGAAGCAAGCUGGGUCUAUAAGGCGCCCUGCACAUGACGUGGCACAUAUAUUUAUGCUGUGUCAGUCACUUGCAUCUUACCAUAGCACUCUGAAAACAUCACAGCCACAGACGGAUAUACUGGGAAAGGGGUUCUCUAUGUACUGGUGUUUAUGCACAGCGCUUUGCCUCAGCCCCAGAAAUAAGUAUGUGAGGCCCCUUGUUGGAGAAAGAAAGAGAGAGAGAGAGAGAAAGAGGGCUCUUAAAUAACUCAACUUUACAGUCAAAGGAACUAUAAAUGGAAAAGUGAACUAAACCCAAAGUUAGCAGAAAAAAGAAAAUAAAUAUCAGAGUGGAGAAAUGAACCGAACAAUCAACCAAAAGUUGGUUAUUUCUUGAAAAGAUCAACAAAGUUGACCAACCCUUAGCUAGAAUGACUAAGAAAAAACUAGAGAAGAUGCAAAUAAAAGCAUAAAUGAAAAUGGGGACAUUAUAAUUGGCCUUACAGAAAUAAAAAGAAUUAUAAGAAGUCUAUAAACAACUACUCCAACAAAUUAGAUAGCCAAGAUGAAGUGGACAAAUUCUUAGCAGCACAUGAGCUACAAAAACUGACUCAAGAAGAAAUAUAAAUUCUGAACAGACUUCUAACAAAUAAGAAAAUAUGAAUCAGUUAUCAAAGAUCUCAUAGUGAAGAGAGGUCCAGGACCUGAUGGCUUCACUGGUGAAUGAGGCUAUACAUGUAAAGAAAAAUUAACACAAGUCCUUCUCAAACGCUUUACGACAACAGCAAUGACUAAAACAGAAGGGAGGGAACACUGCAACAUAUUCUGUGAGGUACUACUCUGAUACCUACCAAAACCAGACAAAUAUAUCACAAGAGAAGAAAACUAGAUACAAAUAUCUAUUAUAGAUGGAAAAAAAAGAAAACCCUAGUAAGCCAAACUCCAGCAGCAUAUUAAAAGAAUCAUAUACAGUGAACAAGUGGGAUUUAUCUCAGGAAUAGAAGGGUGGUUUAACGUGAGAAAAAUCGAUGUAAUACAUCGUAGUAAUAGAAUUAUCCCAAUUGACACAGAAGAAGCAUCUGACAAAAUUCAACAACUUUUUUGAGAUAAAAUUGUAACAAAAUUAGGAAAAGAAGGAAACUUCCUCAAUUGAUAAUGAACUUUUACCCAAAAACCCAUAACUAACAUCAUAAUGGUGAAGACUUCUCCUCUAAAACCAGUAACAGAUUAAAGAUGCCCAUUUUUACCACUGCUUUUCAACAAUGUACAGGAAGUUUUAGCCAUGACAAUUAGACAAAGAAAUUUUUAAAAAGCACCCACAUCGGAAAAGAAGUAAAAUUAUUUUUAUCCACAGAUGAUUUGAUCCUAUAUAGAAAAUCCCAAAGAAUACACACACACAACCUAUUAGAGCUAAUAAAUUCAGCAAAGUUGGAAGACAUGUGGUCAAUACACAAAAACCAUUUCCUAUAUACCAGCAAUGAACAAUCUGAGAAAGAAAUAUUCAAACAAUUCCAUUUGCAAUGGCCAUCAAGAAGGGUAAAGUACGUUGGGAUAAAUUUAACCAAAGAGGUGAAAGACUUCUAUGCUAAACACUACAAGACUGAUAGAAAUUAAAGCCCUAAAUAAAUAGGACAACGUCCCAUGUUCAUGGAUUGUAAGACUUAACUACCCAGUGAUCCACAGCCUGAAUGCAACCCCUGUCAAAAUUCUAAUGGUUUUCUUUUGCAGAAAUGGAAAAAUGGAUCCUAAAAUGUUUAUGGAGUUGCAAGGCACCUUGAAGAGCUAAAAUCAUUAUGAAAAAGAGCACAGUUCUAAGAGUCAGAUUUCCCAAUUUCAAGACUUACACAGAGCUGUAUUAGUCAAAAUAAUGUGGUACUGGCAUAAGGGCAGACGUUGAGACCAACAGAAUAGAACAGAGCACACGGAGAUAAGCCCUCAUGCAUACAGUCAAUUGAUUUUCAAUAAAGCAUCCCAAGACCAGUCAGUGGAAAAAAACAGGCUCUUCAACAAAUGGUGCUGGGACAACUGGACAGCUAGACACAGGAAAAAGAACAAAGUUGGACACAGACCCCACACUGUAAAAAAAUUAUCUCAAAGUGGAUCAGCAACCUAAAUAUAAGAGCUAAAGCCACAGAUUUCUUGAAGGUAAAUCUUUAUGACCUUGGAUUUGACAAUAAGUUAUUAGAUAUGCAAGCAACAAAGACAACAUUACGCAUUAAAUGGCACUGAAUUGUUUGACUUUAAAAUGAUUGUCAUGUAGAUUUCACCCAAUUAAAAAAAAAUAGGGGCCACAUAAGACUUAAAAGAAGCACAGAGAGAAAUAUCCCCAGAAAAAGGAAGUCUAGCAUUAAGCAUCAAAGUGGGGAAUGCUAGACAGAAAUAGGCAGUUCUUACGUAGCAACAAGGAAGGACUCUGACGUGACUGGUUAAAAGCGCCCGUCACUUCUUGGAAUCACUUGAACAGGCUCAGAUAUAUUGAGAAGUGGUGUGGCAGUGAAGGAAGGAAAUAGGAGGAAGUGAAAGAAUCCUGCAGGAAUUAAAGAAAAACAAGACAUGCCAGUUGCCUGACACACAUAUCUCACAACAGCAGUAUCUAGAAAUGAAACUGCCUAAAAGAGGACAAGCGUGGCAGAAGAGGGCAUUUUUGUACUAGGAACUUUGGACUUAAGUACAUGGGAAUGUAAGUACGCAGACUGCAUCCGUGGAAUGCUCCUGCGAGGGGAAAGAUCCGAGAAUUGAGAAUAAAACCUUUUCUGCUAAUAAAAUUCUCCUCUGAAUUCUAUCCAUAAAGCUGAAGGAGACUACAAACAAUAUUCCCAACUGGAUAAAAUAGUCUCGACAUUUGGGAUGUGGGCACAUACCUUGAAUCAGUAAUAAAUCACUUAGCGAUGGAUAAAAAUAAAUAAAAACAGGAAAUGACAAGUAGUGUCUGGACUACAAACAGAAAUAGAAGAAGAGCAUGGAAACAGCUAAGAUAAUCAAAGUGAGAGAAGUAACUAGUCAGAGUGACAUGGGUGAAGUGAAGAUUGGCAAAAGAGGUCAGAUGUGCAUGUAACUAAAGUCUCUGAAGAAGAAAGAAAAGAAAAGACAAUAGAAAUAAUAUUUAAAGCCAUUUGCUAAAAAUUCUAUAAAUACAGUAAAAUCUAACACAGUGAAGGGACCCACAUGGGUACUAAGGAAAUUGAUCUGGAACAAUAAACUCUGAAACAUUUCCUAGUAAAACUAUUAGGCUUUAAAAAUAGAGAAGAAAUCCUAACAGCCUCUAAGCAAAAAAAUGACAUAACUUAAAAGGCAAGGAAAUCACACUGGCAGAGUUCCCGUUGUGGCGCAGUGGUUAACGAAUCCAACUAAGAACCAUGAGGUUGCGGGUUCGAUCCCUGGCCUUGCUCAGUGGGUUAACGAUCCGGCGUUGCUGUGGCUGUGGUGUGGGUUGCAGACAUGGCUCGGAUCCCACGUUGCUGUGGCUCUGGCAUAGGCUGGCGGCUACAGCUCCGAUUCGACCCCUAGCCUGGGAACCUCCAUAUGCCAUGGGAGGGGCCCAAGAAAGGCAAAAAGGCAAAAGAAAGGAAAAAAAAAAAACAUCGCACUGGCAGUAGACUUAUCAAAAACAAUAUACAAAGUGAGAAAAAGACAAGCACAAUUUUUAAGAAACUUGAGGAAGUGCAAACCAAGAAUUUUAUGUCCAGUCAGGCUGGACUUCAUGUAUCAAGAUGACAGGAAAGAAGUUUUACAUGUGGAGCAAGUGUUGUACACAUGAGCCCUUGCUGAGCAACUUGCUAGAGGAUGAGCUUCACCCCAACCAUGAGAAGACUGGAAAAACUGGCAAAAGAACUGAUGGUAAACACUCCGUAUUCUUAGUUACAGAAUUAGAUGAAGACCCGGAUAGAAUCAUGACUGAAUAAUAAUAUAGGAACAUCAUAUGUCCUGGAAAAAUGGGAAGAAUACAAAUCUGGGAGGAAAAGGAUGAAGUAAUGAGAAAGUGUAUAUAUAACUAUAUGUUAGAUUGGAAAAAACAGGAGUUCCCAUUGCUGCACAGCAGAAACUAAUCUGACUAGUAUCCAUGAGGAUGCGCCUUCGAUCCCUGGCCUCAUUCAGUGGGUCAGGGAUCCUGCGUUGCCAUGAGCUGUGGUGUAGGUUGCAGAUGUGGCUCAGAUCCCACAUUGCUGUGGCUGUGGCCAGCAGCUGCAGCUCCAAUUUGACCCCUAGCCUGGGAACUUCCAUAUGCCACAAGUGCAGCCUAAAAAAAAAAAAAAAAAAAAGACAAAGAUAUUUUAUAAUGCCAAAAGCCACAUUUCAUAGUGAAGUUACAACAGUUAUGAAUAACUAUGCAAUAAAUACCACCUGUAUAAGAAACUAUUAGAUAUUCAGGGAAAAAUAUAAAUACAUUAAUAAUGUGAGAACUGCAUUCUACUUUCAUAUGAUGGACCAAAUAGACAAAUAAAACAAGGAUAUAAAAAAUCUGAAGAACAUAAUUCAUAAGACCUGACUUAUGAAAACAACACCAUGGCAAUAGAGAAUAUUCCAUCUUGAGCACACAUUUAGAAAUCUAAAUACAGAGAUCAAUAAAAAUACAGAAAUUAUCAAUUUGAAGAGCUAAAAAAGAACCUACAGUAAAUCGAAAGAAAGCACAAAGAAGAAAAUAACUAGGACAAAGACAAAAGCAGAAAUUAAUGAGGCUGAAAAAGAGUAAAAUAGUUAACCAAAUUAAUAAUAUAAAAAUCCUGGUUUAAAUAUAAAAGUUGACAAACUAACAAUUAAUUAAGGAGAAAAGAGAGAAAGCACAAAUAUGAAGAAGAUGUAAGGGGAAAGUAACCACUGUUGCGGAGAAAAUUUUAAAAUCAUAAUAUGCUAACUACUUGGUACACUUAUUUGUAAAACCUAGAUGACAUGGAUAAUUUCCUUGCACAAUACAAUUUAUCUAAAAUUGAUCUCAGUAGAAAUAGAAAACUAACACCUAACUUCCAAAAAAUAAAUAGAAAAAUUAUCAAGGAACUACCCUAAAAGAAUGUGUGAUAUUCAAUAGCUUUCACAGGAGAAUUCUACCAAAACGUUUUUAGAGAACAGAGGGUCCUGAUUUUCCAUAUAUUGUUUCAGAGCACAGGAAAUAAAGGAAAUCUUCCAAAUACACCUUAGAAGCAAAUAUAACAUUGAUAUAUAAUCUUGAUAAUAGUAGAACACAGACUGGCCAAUAUUAUUUAUGAAUGCUGAUACCAAAAUCCCAAGUAUUUCUCCAUAUCAAUAGAUUUGAGAAGAAACCUAUGAUUGCCUCCAAAAGUCAUUCCUAACUAAAUUCUUCUGCAACUACAAAUGGAUGGACACUUCCUUGGUAAAACUACACAAAUACUAGGAGAAAACAGGAGUGAAUUCCUCUGUAAACUAAGCAUAGGAAGAAGGUUUCACGACUAUGGCUAAAAAUCUAGAUGUAACAAGAAAAGAUAAAUUUGUUGACAGAUUUAUUAAACCUCUAGCUUAGAAAACACACCUUAAUCAAAAGACAAUGACAAAAUGGAAGGAAAUCUUUGCAACAGAAGUCUAAUGGCUGUGAUGUACACAAAACUUUUAAAAACUGAGGGAGUAAAGGACCAAGAUGAUUAAAGAAAAAUAAGCAAAAGAUAUAAACAGACAUCUCAGGAAAUAGUAUAUGCCUAUCACAUCAACAAAAACAAUUGCAAAAUCUUGAUAACAUUCUCCUUUGGUGAGACUGUGUGGAAAUAGUCUCAUACUGCUUAUGUGAAUUCAUAUGGCACUGUCCCUUGUAGAGGGGAAUUUGGCAAUAUUCAACAAAACUAAAUGUUUAUAUUUCAACCUGGAAAUCCCACUUCUAGGAAGGUACCUUAAGGAUGCACCUCUAAAAAUAUGCAAAAUCAUGCAGAAAAUCAUUCAGUGCAGCAUUACUUGCAAUUACAAAAUAUUAGAGACUGACCAAAGGAGUGACCACAGAAUGGUGAGCACAGCUGCCAUCAGAGACCACCUACACAUUAAGUAUAAGAGACUGGUUGAAAAGACUGUAGGACAUACGCACCAAAGAACACCAUGCAACUCUAAGACUGAGAAUGCUCUCGAUGAAUGGCUAUUGAAUGAUGGCUAGGUGACAAAUGCAAAGUACAAACGAGCAUCUACAGAAUACUACAUUUUUGUAAUAAAGAAGUUGACAUGAGAAAAUAAUCCCACAUGUUUGAUACCACACAUACACACACUCACACACUAAUAAUAACCAGAAAACACUGAAAUUGGUUACCAAAAAGGGGUGGGGAGAAUUAGGAUGGGAGGGAUAUGGGAAGAAAGGACAUUUUGCUCAGAAGACCUUUUUAUGUGGUUUUGACUUUGGAAGUAUAUGAAUGUUCUGCAUACACAAAAAGUAGAGUUAAAUCAGCAAGUUGGAAGAUGCCUCUGGACUGGUGGAAUGAGGACCUUGACAGAACUGCUCCCUAGAAAGCAACUGUAAAACUGGACCAUAUUGUUUAAAACAAUUCUUUAAAAAUUCCAGACGUUAACUAGAGCCAUAUAACAAAUUGAAUGGUGUCUAUUCAAGAAAAACUACUAAACCUGGUAAAUAGCAGAGCCUCUGGCAAUUUAACUUGGGGCUCCUUGCAUCCCCCCCCCCCCAUCCGAGCUCAGUGGCACAGCAGCUCUAAGAAUUUUCUGGCUCAGUGCCAACAAAGAAGGAUAAUCUGAUGUGGAGCUCCAUGGAAAACACCCCGCAACUGUCAAAUAACAGUGAUCUCAGUGGCAAGUAACUGGGGAAGGUCAGCACUGCAGCUACUGAAGACUGCAGUGUUGUUUGGGACAAGCAAAAAGCUUAAAAGGGAUUCUUGAGAUUUGAGAGACUGUACCUCCUCUCAAGAGAGACCAGAGAAGACCCUUGUUAUUUACAUAUCCUGGGCUGACCAUGAGACCCUGUGUAAGCAGAAAGCAAAAGCCAGGAAAUACUUGCAAAAUGCUUGCAACUGCAAGGAAUAUCUAAACUCAUACACAGAUCACCUCAGCAAAUGGUUGAAGCCUCAUUGGCUCAAGAUGUUUAAACAAAACUGACCAGGCAGCCUCACCACUAGGUUAUGCUGAUCUACGAGGUGACACAAACAAAAAUCAGAAAUGAAAAACUGAGCAGAGACAUCAGUGGUCACACACUGCAUGACACAGACUAUAGAAUCAGUGCCGGCAAGGCAUAAACAAGUCCAACAACAACCAAAAAAAAAAAAAAAUCUAGCAAAAACAACAAUCACCCCUGGUAAGAGGGAAGAAUAAGGACUCAGAAUUCCUAUAUUAUAUAAAAUGAUCAGUUUUUAACCAAGAAUUUCAGGACAUACAAGAAACAAGGCGGUAACCCUUAAACAUGAAUAAAAAGUAAUCAAUAGAAUUGAUCUCUGAGGGCACCGCAGUAGGCUAAGACUUCAAAGCAGCUUUCAUAAAUCUAUUCAAAGAAAAAAAAACAGUAAAUGAGUGAAGGGAAAGUAUGCCGAUGAUUCAUAAAUGGAUAACAUCAAUAAAGAGAUAAGAAUUAUAUGAUAAAUCUAAUAGAAAUUCUAGAGUUGAAAGCACAACUUAGAAACAAGCAGGGCUAAACAACAGAUUUGAGCUGGCAAGAGAAAGAAUCAAUGAACUUGAAGACAGAUCCAUAAAGAUGAUUCAUUCUGUUGAGUGACAACAUGUGCAUAAUUAAAGUCUCCAGAAAGAAAUGGGGAAAAAAAAUCUUUGAAGAGAUAUUUAACAUUAACCUGAAGCACAAUGUGUUCAGUUAAGAUGCUUAUUGUAACCUCCAGAGUAUACUACUAAGAAAAUAACUUUAUAAAUAGGAAAAUGAAACUAACAAAGGAAUCAGAAUGGUAAAAUAAACUUAUCUAUUAACAGAACAUAAUUCAGUAAAGGAGGAAGAGAACAAAAUGAGAAGAGACACAAGACAUAGAAAAUGAAUAGCAAAUGAAAGGUGUAAAUCCUACCAUAUAAAUAAUUACAUUAAAAUAAUUAAACAUUCAAUAAAGAAGUAGAGACUACCAGCCUGCCUAGAACAGGAAUCAAGUAUAUGCUGCCUAUUAUAUGUAUGUUAUAUGUUCAAAGACACAAACAGGUUCAAAGAAGAAGGAUGAAAAAUGAUGAUAUGCAAACAUGAAACCCAAGAAGGCUGGAAUGGCUAUACUGAAUAUCAGACAGAACAGACCUUAAACUGUAUUUCUGGAGACAAUGACAGACAUUUAUAAUAAUAAAAUUGUAAAAUCAUCAGGAAAAAGUAAAAAAUAUAAGAAAAAACCUAAAAGUUAUAAAGAGAUAAAAAUUAUAUACACAAUAACAGAGUCCCAAAAUACAUGAAGCAAAACUGACAGAACUAAUGAGGGAAAUAGAUAAUUCAGCAAUAAUAGACAAGUCAACAGUAAAAUAGCAGUUUUGUUCAAGUUUUUUAUAUCAGGACUUUUAUAUCUUUAAUUUUCACCAAUUAAAUUAUUUCAUCAGUUAUUAAGAGUUGAGCAUUAAACUAUCACCUAAAUACUACUGUUGAAUGAGAUGGUGGGACAGGAGGGUAUGUGGCACUCUGCUUAAUGACCUCCUCUCUUUGGUGUCAGGGACCCAAUGGGAAGCUAAUUAUCCCACCUGGCAGUGGGAUCCACUGGGGAGCUGAUCUUAUACCCUAUUCAGAGGCAAUAAGGAGUGUGAGUUGGUGCCACUACUUUCAUUGGGAAGAUGUCAGUGGGCCAAAAGGGGAGCUAAAUUUCCAUACAUGUACCUACAGUGAAGUAGUGUAAGGCUGUGCUCUACGUUUUCUGGAGCAAGAUUGCUGGGGGGGCAUAUGGAGACAAUGAACAUGCAUGCUCAUCCAGCCUUGUGGCUACACUUCUGCAGAGAAACUGUCUACUAAAACAAACAAGAAACAAACCAAAAACCAAAAUAAGAAAAAAGCCACCACCACCACAACAAAAAAAACAAAGCCAAAUAUUAAAUUGGAUCCAGAAUCUCAUAAUCUCUAAAAUUUCCAAUGUACAAGUGAAAGGCACUUGUCAUGACAAAAAUCAGGAAAGUCACAAUAUAAAUGAAAAAAGAUAUUCAAGAGAUGCCAAAACCAAAGUAAGUAAAACGUUGGAAUUAUUUGACAAGGAUUUUAAAGAAGUCAUCAUAAAAAUACUUUAAUAAGCAAUGACAAAUUUUCUCAACACAAGUGAAAAAAAUAGAAGUUAUUUAAAAAUGGAAAUUGUGGAACUGAGAAAUAUAAUAAUUGAAAAUAAUAAUACAAUAAAUAAAAUAUAAUAGUUGGAUGGACUCAGUUGUAGAGGAUAGAAUCAGUGAACUUAUGUCUAGUCAAUAGAAUUGACUCAAUCUGAACGACAAAAUGAUAGAAAAUAAAAAAUGAACAGUGUUUCAGUGAUCUGUUUGGCCAUGUGAAAAGAGCUAAUGUUUGUAUCACUGGAAUUCCAAAGGAGAGGUGGGAGUGAAAUAAAAAUUGUAUUCGAAGAAAUAAUGGCUGAAAACUCUCCAAUUCAGGGAAGAUUACAGCCCUACAAAUUCAAGAAGCUGAGUGAAUAAGGAGCACAAAACCAAAUCUAUUAAAAUAAAUCUAUGCUGGGACCAAUUAUAAACAUCUGAAAACUAAAGACAAAAAAUACUCUGAAAGAAGAUACAUGGCAUCAUCUUUAUAGAGGGAACACUAAUUUAAACAGCAGUGAAUUUCUCAGCAGAAACCAUGGAGACCAGAAGAAAGUGGCAUAGUAUUUUUGUAAUAUUAAAAAACUGUCAGCUGUGAAUUCCAUAACCCAAAAAAUACACUUCAGGAAUGAAGGAGGAAUAGACAUUUUCAGAAAGGAAACAGAAUUUGUUGCUAGCAAACCUACCCUUAAAGGACAGUAUGUCUGCCAUGUAAGGUGGUGCUCAAUGAGUGAGAAGGAAACACUUAAGGGCACGUGUGCGUUUUAAAUGGUGAGGACGAAAGAAACUAAACAGAAGCAAGGUUUCAACACUUCAGUCAAAUAAGUAAAGCACUGAUGUCAGUAAAUUAUGACAGACUUCACAUUUGCACUUGGAACCUAGGGCAAUUACUAAGAAAACCCUACAAAACUUCUGACUCCACAACACUGUAGACACCAGAAGGGUAAACAGGGAACAUGUCAAUUCUACACACACAAGUUUGACAACUUAGAUAAAGUGAACCAAUUCCUCAAAAAGCACAGACUACAUUCACCCGGUAUGAAGUAGGUAAUUUUUAUAGCCCUAUCACUGUUAAGAGAUUCAAUUUGUAAUUUACAAAUUCCCAAGAAGAAUCUCCAGGCCCAAAUGGUUUUACUGAAGAUCCUGCCCAAACUUUUAGAGGAGGAUCAGUAGUAUUCCACACAAUCUUUCCAAAACAAACGAAAAACAGAAGAGGAGGGACUACUGUCCAAUUCAUUUUAUGAAGAUAGAAUCCCCCUGAUAACAAAGCAAAGAUGGUGCCAGAAGUGAAAACCACAAGCCAGUAUCCCUCAUGAAUACUGAUGGGGAAAUUCUUUUUCGUAUUAGUAGAGCAUCAUGCUCCCUGAUUUCAAACUGUAUUCCAAAGCGGUAGUAAUUACAAUAGUAUGGCAUUGGCAUAAAAACAGACAUACAGAUCUGUGGGACAGAAUAGAGUCCAGAAAUAAGCCCACAUACUCAUGGUCAAUUCAUAUGUGACAAAGGAGUCAAGAAUAUACAACGUGGAAAGGGUAGUCUCUGGAGUAAAUGGUGUGGGGGGAGUUCCCAUCAUGGCACCGCAGAAACGAAUCUGACCCGGAACCCUGAGGUUGCAGGUUCCAUCCCCGGCCUCGCUCAGUGGGUUAAGCACCUGGCAUCGCUGUGAGCUGUGGUGUAGGUCACAGACGUGGCUCAGAUCUGGCAUUGCUGUGGCUGUGGUGCAGGCCGACUGCUGUAGCUCCGAUUGGACCCCUAGCCUGGGAACCUCCAUAUGCUGUGGGUGCAGCCCCAAAAAGCAAAAAAAUAAAUGAAUAAAAUAAAUGGUGCUGGGAAAACUGGACAACCACAAGCAAAAGAAUAAAACGUGACCACUAUCUAACAUCAAACACAGACACUAACUCAAAAUGCACUGAAUGUAAACCCCAAACCAUAAAACUCCGAGAAGAAAGCAUCAGCGGUAAACUCUUUGAUAUACAUCUUGAUGUUGGGUUGUUUAAUCUGGCACCAAAAGCAAAAACAAGCAAGUGGGACCGCAUCAAACUAAAAGCCUUCUGCGCAGCAAAGGGAAUCAUCACCACAAUGAAAAGGUACCCUGCUGAGUGGAAGAAAAAAUUUGUCAGUUACACACCUGAUAAGGGGCUGACAGCCAAACAUAUAAACAUACAACUCAGUAACAGCAGAACCGAAUCCUAUUAAAAAUGGGCAGAGGAUGUGAAUAGACAUUUUUCCAAAGAAGACUAACAGAUGACCAGCAAGUACCUGAAAAGAUGCUCAGCGUCACUCAUCCUCAGGGACAUGCAAUCGAAAUCGCAGUAAGGUACCACCUCAUGCCUGUGAGAAUGGCGGUGAUCAAAAGAGAAGCAGCAGCAAGUGUUGGUGAAGAUGUAGGUGCAGCAAAGGGAGAUUUUGUGCACUGUUGGUGGUUGUAAAUUGGUGCAAUAACUGUGGUAAAUGGGGUGGAGGCGCCUCAAAAAUUAAAAAUAGAACUACCAUGUGAUCCAGCAAUUCCAUCUCUGGGUAUUUAUCAAAAAAAGAAAAAAGAAAAUACUAGCCCAGAAAGACACGUGCACUCAGGUUCAUUGUGGCAUUAUUUACAAUAGCCAAACCAAGAUAAGGAAAGGACGUACAUCCAUCGAUGAAUCAGUGGAUAAAGAAGUUGUGUGUAUACACACACACACACACACACACACACACACACACACACACACACAGCAGAAUACUACUGAACUCUGAAGAGCAGUGAAAUCUGGUCAUUUGGAACAUGAUGGACCUCAAAGGCCUUCUACUAAGUGAAGUAAGUCAGAGAAAGGCAAAUAUGUUUUGCCUUCUCUCUCUCAUAGGUGAAAUCUAACACAAAACGAAACCACAAAAAUGAAGCUCAAAGAUACAGAGAGCAGACUGGUGGUUUUCAGAGGUGGAGCAGUGGGAGAAAUGAGUAAAGGAGGGGUCAAAAUGUAAGAAGAAGAACAGAAAUUUUAAGUUAAAUAAAUUAAGUUUCAGAAUAAUAUAUAGAGUCAAAGACAAUGAUCUAGGAUACCUAUCCAACGGACAGGAAUUCUGGAAGGAGAGUGCGGAGAAUAUAAAGAGGAGGAAGCUCAUAAGCGAAACACUGAUUCCUCAGGCUAGAGGGUGGGAGAGACUUCAGAGCAAAAGGACCCGCUUACCAAGCGCCCACCAAGACAGACAGGGAGAAAACACCCUCUUCUGGGCCGAUCGUUGUGACAUUUCAAAACACCAUAAACUAUGGGGAAAAGUGAGCCUCCAGAAGUGGGGAAAACAGAUCAUCAAGAGAGGAGUGAACCUAAUUAAAAAAUAAAAUGUUAGCAAAGAGAACCCAAUAGUACAUGAAAAGAAUCAUAUCCCAUGACCAGUGGGAUUUAGUCUAGGAAUGCAAAAUUGGUUCAGAAUUCAAAAUCAUUCAAUGUAAUGCACCAUAUUAAUAAGUAAAUAAUAAAAAUAGUAUCAAUUGAGGCAUACAAUCUGACUACAUCCAACAUCUUUUCAAAACUCAAAAAAUAGAAAUAAAAGGGCACAUUCUCAGUUUGAUAAACACCAUCUACCAAAAGAAACUAUUUCUAACAUCAUAAUUAAUGGUGAAAGGCUGAAUGAUUUUCCCUUAAGAUUGAGAAGAAGGCAGCAAUGUUCACUCACCAUCCUUAUUUGACCUGUUCCUGGAAGUUAUAGCCACUUCAGUAGCUCAGGAAAAGUCAAUAAAAGGCAUACAUACAGGAAGAAAAAAUAAAACUGCCACUAUUUGAAGACGGCAUCACAGUCAAAAUGCUAAAAGCCAAGGACGGAGAAAAUCUCAAGGAGCAAGAGAAAAAGGGGACCCAGCGAAGCUUAAGAGGAGACGUGUCCUCAGAAAUAAUGGAACCGAAAGCAGUGCGGUGACGUCAUCGAAGGAUUUGAAGACGAAAAAAUUAACAGACUCAUAUCGAGGAAGACUAUCCUUUUAAGGAAGACAAAAUAAUGACAUUUCCAGAUAGACAAGAAUAGAGAAUUCCUCGUUGGUGUAUCUGCUUCGUAAAAGCUAAUGAAGGAAGUUUUUCAGGCAGAAAGCAAGUGGCCCCCAUAGUAAACUGAAUACACACAUAUAACAGAACAAAAAUCAUCCCUAAAGGCAAUAUUGUAAUUAUGCAAUAUAAAUGCAUCUUCCCAAUUACAAAGCAGUUGUGUAAAACAAAGGUAUUUAGUUGUACUGUUGGCCUGAACUAUGUAGACAUGUAACACUUCAUCUCUCUCUUUUUUUUUUUUUUGAGUUUUAGAGUGGUUUAUUACAGAGCAGCAGAAAUGGAAACAUUAACACAACUUACAAAGAACUUCUACAUCAAUACAGAUAUCAACAGAAGCACAUAAAUAAAAGACGAACAAAUUAUUCUAAUAAGAUGUAUAUAACUAUAAGAACAAUGGCUAAGGAAAUAGCUCAGUCAGAAAUAACUAAAGCAACUGAAAAAAAUGUAUCAGGAAACAUUCACUGAAAUUAAAAGAAAGUAGUAACGGAGAACUGGAGGAACAAAAAAUCCAUGAGGCAGACAAAACUAAAAGUAAAACUGCAAGCAAACCCAACUGUAUUAAUCUCGGUAAAUGUGAAUGGAUUCAGCCAUGAAAAGGAGAGCGUAUCAAACUGGAUUAAAAAAUAAGAUUCAACUCUAUGCUACCUAUAGGAGGUAUACUUUAGAUUCAAAGAUAUACAUUGAAAGUAAAAGGAUGAAAAAAGAUAUAUCACGCACCCAGCAACCAUGAGAUACCUGGAGUGCUGUACUAAAAUCAGACAAAGGGGACUUUAAAUAAAAACGUUACUAGUAUUAACGGGGGUCAUUUUAUAAUGAAAAAGUGUCAAUUUGCCAGAAGAUAUAACAAUUAUGAACUUAUAUGCACCUAAGACCAGAGCACCAAAACACAUGCAGCAAAAACUCACAGGCUUGAGCAGAGGAAGAGCCAAUUCUUCGGUACUUGGAAAUGCCCAUAUCCUAUUUUCAGUAAUGUAGAGACCAAAUAGACAGACGAUCAGAGGAAACGGAAGAGAUGUAUAAUACUAUAAACCAUCUGGACCUAUGGAUAUCUACAGAACACUACAAACGGGAACCACAGAAUGCAGCGUCUUUUCCAAUGCACACGGUACAUUCUCCAAGAUGGACCAGGUGAUAUGCUAUUAAACAAACCUCAAUAAAUUUUAAAGGAUACUGUUAAUACAGAGUAUGUUUUCCAACCACAGUGGAACACAAGUAGAAAUCAAUUAACAGAAAGAAGCUUGGGAAACAUGUCAAUAUGUGGAAUUUAAACAACACACUCUUAAAUAACCAUGAAUCAAGGAGGAAUUCACAAGGAAAAUUAGAAGAUACUUUGAGAUGAAUGAAAACAAAGGCAUAGUACAUCAGAACUAAUGGGAUACAGUUAAAGAGAAUUUUAUGGCUAUAAAUGCCCACAUUAAAAACACAAUAGACCUUGGAGUUCCCGUCGCGGCUCAGUGGUUAAAGAAUCCAACUAGGAACCAAGAGGUUGCAGGUUCGAUCCCUGGGCUUGCUGAGUGGGUUAGGGAUCCGGCGUUGCUGUGAGCUGAGGUGUAGGUUGCAGACGCGCCUCGGAUCCCCACAUUGCUGUGGCUGUGGCGUAGGCCGGUGGCUACAGCUCCGAUUGGACCCCUAGCCUGGGAACCUCCAUAUGCCGUGGGAGCGGCCCAAGAAAUGGCAAAAAGACAAAAAAUAAAAAUAAAAAAAUAAAAAACACAAUAGCCUCAAGUCAAUAAACUGAUUCCACUUUAGGAAGCUUGGAAGCAAAGAGAAGAAAAAAUAACUAAACCUAAAGCCAGCAGAAGAAAUGAAAUACUAAGUAUUUGAACAUCAAUUGAUGAAACAGAGGAUAGAAACAUGCUAGAGAAAGUCAACAGAACCAAAAUUUGGUUAUUUGAGGAGAUGGACAAAAUUGAUAACCCUUUAGCUAGACCAGUGACAGAAGAAGACGCAAAUUACUAAAAUCAUCGGUGAAAGUACUUUAUAGCUGACUAUACAGAAAUAACAAAGAUUACAACGAACACUAUGAAAUGCUUGGUGCCAACACAUUACACGAUGUAGAUAAAAUGGACAUCUUCCUAAAAAGUCAAAAGCUACUGAUUAUAAGUAGACAAUCUGAAUAGAGCUACAAGUAAAGAGAUUUAAUUAGUAAUCAGAAUGCUACAUACAAAGACAAACCCAGCUGGCCCAGAUGGCUUCACUGAUAAAUGCUACGAAAAUUUAAAGAAUUAAUACCAAGUCUGUACUUUCCCCUCCAUCAAAAAUAAACACAGAAGAGGAGGAAUCUCUUCCCAACACAUUCUUGAGCUCAGUGUUACCAAAACCAGACACAGAUACAACACAAAAGAGAACCACUGCAGACCAAUCAUUCUUAUGAAAAUAGACGCAGAAUACUCAACAGAAUACUAGCAAGUAAAAUACAGCAAUAUGUUAGAAAUAUAUAUAUACACUAUGACCAAGUGGUAUUUAUUCCAGGAAUGCAAGGCUGGAUUCCUACCUGAAAGUUGAUCAACCUAAUGCACCAUUUCAAAACAUAAAGGACAAAAACUACAUGCUUAUCAAUGGCAGACACGGGAAAUGCAUUUGAUGAAAUUCAAUGCACUUACAUGACGAUAAAAAGGCGUCAAUAUGCUAGGAAUAACAGUCUGAUAAAGUGCAUCUAUUUAACUUCGUAUUUAAUGGUGAAAGACAAAAGGCUUUCACCAUUAAAGAAUAAGACAGAGACAUCUGCUCUCAUCACUUCUCUUCAGCAUUGUAUUGUAAGUUCCACUCAUGACAGUUGGGCAAGAAAAAGAAGAGGCAUCCAGUUUAGAAAUAAAAAGGUAAAACUAUCUCUAUUCAUGGAUGACAGGAUUUUCUAUACAGAAAAUCUCAAGGAAUCCACCAAAAAAAAAAAAAAAAAAAAA